UCUCUUUCCCCCGGCCCUCGCAGCCCCUAUAUUCGCUUUGCCGUUCGCAAGAUCGGCUAUGGCGAUAAACGGACGUCGAAAUAAGCUUUUCGGACCCGGGGGCGGUACCCGGCGCCUCCACCACAGCCCUGCGGCGCGAGCACAGAGAGAUCUGCGGCGCAAGCUUUGGGGCAUCCUGCAGCCGGUUGGCGGCAGGGCUGCGGCGGGGGCGAAAUAGGAUCGACGAGGGUGUAAAGGUCGUUCUUUUGCUCGGUAUGGUUCCGCCGUUAUAGGGCUAACGCAUAGUUGCCAAUGACAACAAUGCUCGGGUCGCUGUCGCCGCGUAAGCGGUGCUGGUUCCCAAACCUAAGUCCUUCCGUUUAGCGACGUAAGGCGGGGCCCGGAGGCGCCUGGCAACAGAAGCCUCCACU
rnacentral:tmRNA from 1 species